ensembl:lncRNA
CAAGAUCUCACUACGUGGCUGAAUUGCCCAGGCUGGGCUGGAACAUGCGAUCCGCCUGUCUCAGCCUCCUGGAGUGUUGAGAAUACAGGUGUGCACCGCCACGCGGACCUUAUAUUUUACAUUUUUCAUACUAAGCCUGUGCCACCCAGAGUGUUACACUACCGCCCAUCUCAGUACGCCUGCGCUACACUUCCGGGCUCAGAGCCCACGUGGCUGCCGCGAUGGACCGCGGCGCUGCAGAGCCCCGGAGGCGGCAAGGAGGAGGACGCAGCGAGCAGGUCAGGAAUGAAUGAAUGGACGCCCGCGGCCCGGCGGUCGGGUGCGGGCCUCUGCGGGGGGUGCCCACCAGGGGGCGCGCGCAGACCCUCAGGCUCACGACCAGGAGUCACUCGCAGGGAGGCGCCAGGCUGCAGGUCUCACAGGACCCAGCCCCCAGGACCCGGAAUCGAGGUCUCCUUCCUUUCUCGUGUUGCCCUGGCCAGGGAGGAGGCAGUGUGAUGGCCUCUGAGCACUGCCCCCCACCACUGACAGGGUCCCCCGAGUCCCCAGCCUGAGGGCCGACCGCAGGGCAGGUCCGGGGCAGGGACACACAGAAUGCCCUCCCUCGCCCUGGUCCGGCACAGCCAGGCUGGCUGGCCAGCCCAGCCCGUCUCCCUCAGUCCUCGGAGCACCCUUGCCCUUGGAGCGCUCCUCCCAGGUGCUUUUCUGGGAGAAGCCACAGGGUGGUUUCUUACUCCGUGGCUUCUUGACACUUCCAACUGUUUCUGCUUUCUCUGCUUUCUACUGCUACUUUGGUUUGGUUUGGUUGAAGCAAGGUCUCGCUGUGUAAUUCAAGCUGCCUUUGAACUCGCUCUGUAGCCCAGGCUGGGGCAAUGGCAAUACUCCUGCCUCAGUCUCCUGAGAGCUGGAAUCACAGGCCUGCACCAACAGAACCAGCAGCUACUCACCCUUGGACACUGCUGUCAGCAGCAUCUUUCCGAGGUCUCCGUCCCAGUGAGACCCAGACGCCUGGAAGUGACCUGCCAGGAAGCUCAGAUGCGAGUGACAAGAUGCUGGCACUGGUUCCCACCAAAGCCCCAGGAAGGCCACGCUUAGCAGGUGGCCAAUAAAUAUUCAUGACCUUGCAGAAUGGCGUGCUCCGUGGGAGGCCAGAAGCAUUCCGGAAGAAUGAUUCUCCUGCUCUUCCCUCUUCCCAUCUCAGCCCAGCAGCAAACGGAGGGACAGGGGAGACAGACAGUGACAGGUCGCUCCUCCUCAUGGCCACCGGUGAGACCAUGCUUCAUCAGGGGGAACCUUGGCUGGAGGCGAUCCCCAGGCUGAGGCCUGGCGACACCGAAGAGCCCUCAUCCAUUGGUGUCUGGCUUGUCCCCCAGGGAACCACAGCAGAGCUCAGCUGUCCUGGUCCACAGGGGAGACGUCACCCACGGACCACACACCUCCUGCCACUGGAGGCCCCUGCUGGUGACCGCACAGUCCCCAUCCUCCUGACACCAGAAGCCAACGAGGACUCGGGCAGCUGCCAUCACCAGGCUUGUGCUGACUCCUUCCUAGACGGCAGGGACUCUCCAGGGCAGCAGCUCCCCUGGGGGUAGGGGUCCCUCAGGAAGGUCAGGCCCUCGGAAGACCCCUUCCCCUGGACCCUUCCAGGGCCCUUUCCCUCUCUCUCCCCUUCGAUUCUGUUUUCCUGCUGCCUUGACCUAGGGUUUUAGUGUUUCACUGCUCAGGACGGGGAGCGCUGCCAUUUUUCACACUUUUGCUUUGUUUUGGUCUGCUUUUGUGCCCUUAGCUGAGGUUCCUGUACAAGACAUGCCUUCAGGCUGUCCACACCUUGCUCCUUCCCUGGGGACAGAGGGAGUGGUCAGUCAUGCUUGGGGGUCUGAGCCAGCAUGGCCCCAAGUGCCUCACCACAACUUCACUUCUAAGGCCCCCAAAUGUGGCUGCACCUGACUGGGGCACGGCUUCUCCUCUAGGUGUCAUCCUAACACUCAGCCUGUUUAUUGCCGGGAAGCAAGAGUUGGGGGACAAGAGGAAGCAGCCUCUUGAGCUGGCCUCUGCGCCUGCCUGAACUUUCUUUCCGUUCCUGUGGCCGGCAGCACUAUCCCUCAGCCCUGGCCCCUUCCAUUUACAUUUUGUUUUUUGGUUCAGACCCCGUUCAACCCGGGUUCCAGUCCUGUGACUUGGUCAUCAACUGAACUGGUCACUCAGUGAAGAAUUCUAUGUAGUCUGUACAUUACAAUAUUCAGAACAAAGACAUGGUCAAAGGAAGCUCCAGCUUGAUGACUUCGCUUUUAUUUGCAUAACUCUUCCAUGCGGUACUGUAAUGUAUAACAGAACAUAAAGCUACAGCACUGUACUGUGCAGUACUAUCAGCAAAAAUUACAGCACUGAAUAAACAGGGUGUACUGUACAAUAAAAAGACAUUGAAGUUCUAUAAACAAGAUGUACAGAACUGUACAAAAAAAAAAGAUGGCUCAUAAAUCUGAGCAGAGGAUCUUAUGCCUCGGCCAUAAAUCUGAAGAGUAAACAGAUCGGUCAUUUAACAAGGAACAUCAUAGGGGCUGGAGAUUUAGCUCAGUGGUUCUGCCACCUGCCUUGAAAGCGCAAGGUCCUGAGUUUGAUCCCCGGUACCAAAAAAAAAAACAACAAAAAAACAAGGAAUGUCACACUGGAGCUCGAACCUCAGGCCUUUGCACUGAGCCACAUCUCAGGCCUUUUGGUCUGAGUCUACAUGGGUCCCCAGAUCCACUCCUGGUCUAGUAAAUGGGACGCUGCAUUCCUCCUCGCGGCUGAGCACACCCCAAGUGUGCACAGGACCUCUUCUUGG